AUUGAACGCUGGCGGCAGGCCUAACACAUGCAAGUCGAGCGGAUGAGUGGAGCUUGCUCCAUGAUUCAGCGGCGGACGGGUGAGUAAUGCCUAGGAAUCUGCCUGGUAGUGGGGGACAACGUUUCGAAAGGAACGCUAAUACCGCAUACGUCCUACGGGAGAAAGUGGGGGAUCUUCGGACCUCACGCUAUCAGAUGAGCCUAGGUCGGAUUAGCUAGUUGGUGAGGUAAAGGCUCACCAAGGCGACGAUCCGUAACUGGUCUGAGAGGAUGAUCAGUCACACUGGAACUGUGACACAGUCCAGACUCCGACGGGAGGCAGCAGUGGGGAAUAUUGGACAAUGGGCGAAGGCCUGAUCCAGCCAUGCCGCGUGUGUGAAGAAGGUCUUCGGAUUGUAAAGCACUUUAAGUUGGGAGGAAGGGCAGUAAGUUAAUACCUUGCUGUUUUGACGUUACCAACAGAAUAAGCACCGGCUAACUUCGUGCCAGCCGCCGCGGUAAGAC
rnacentral:rRNA from 1 species